GAGAGUUUCUCUUUUACCCUACUGGCUGAGAAACUCCCCCAUUGCCUUUCUUCCCACCUCUUUUCUUUCUCCUUUUUUCCUUUCAUUUCCCAUACUUUCCUUCACUCGCCCAAACAUGGUGCUCUCCACAAAACUCCACCGUUUAGACCUUCGUUCAACGUUCUUCACCUCUCUUCGCCCCUCGUUUACUCCCAAUCCCUCCUCUUCAGUCUCCCCCAAAACCUUUAAAUUUAGACCAACUAAAAUGACUGCCCAAGUUUCCACUCUCAGCGUUGAAACCUCCGUUAAGGACCCUGAAAGCGACAUUGAAUCACUGUUUUCCUCCAAUACAGAAGAAAUUGAUCGGAAACGUUCCAACAAGCAAUCCAAUACCGGUGCUUCGGGU
rnacentral:lncRNA from 1 species